CCUACGGGAGGCAGCAGUGGGGAAUAUUGGACAAUGGGGGCAACCUUGAUCCAGCCAUGCCGCGUGUGUGAAGAAGGCCCUCGGGUUGUAAAGCACUUUCAGUGAGGAAGAACGCCUGGUGGUUAAUACCCAUCAGGAAAGACAUCACUCACAGAAGAAGCACCGGCUAACUCCGUGCCAGCAGCCGCGGUAAUACGGAGGGUGCGAGCGUUAAUCGGAAUUACUGGGCGUAAAGCGCGCGUAGGUGGCUUGAUAAGCCGGUUGUGAAAGCCCCGGGCUCAACCUGGGAACGGCAUCCGGAACUGUCAAGCUAGAGUGCAGGAGAGGAAGGUAGAAUUCCCGGUGUAGCGGUGAAAUGCGUAGAGAUCGGGAGGAAUACCAGUGGCGAAGGCGGCCUUCUGGACUGACACUGACACUGAGGUGCGAAAGCGUGGGUAGCAAACAGGAUUAGAUACCCCGGUAGUC
rnacentral:rRNA from 1 species